CCUACGGGAGGCAGCAGUGGGGAAUUUUGGACAAUGGGCGCAAGCCUGAUCCAGCAAUGCCGCGUGAGUGAAGAAGGCCUUCGGGUUGUAAAGCUCUUUUGUCAGGGAAGAAACGGUGGGAGCUAAUAUCUUCCACUAAUGACGGUACCUGAAGAAUAAGCACCGGCUAACUACGUGCCAGCAGCCGCGGUAAUACGUAGGGUGCAAGCGUUAAUCGGAAUUACUGGGCGUAAAGCGUGCGCAGGCGGUUUUGUAAGUCUGUCGUGAAAGCCCCGGGCUCAACCUGGGAAUUGCGAUGGAGACUGCAAGGCUUGAAUCUGGCAGAGGGGGGUAGAAUUCCACGUGUAGCAGUGAAAUGCGUAGAGAUGUGGAGGAACACCGAUGGCGAAGGCAGCCCCCUGGGUCAAGAUUGACGCUCAUGCACGAAAGCGUGGGGAGCAAACAGGAUUAGAUACCCUGGUAGUCCACGCCCUAAACGAUGUCUACUAGUUGUCGGGUUUUAAUUAACUUGGUAACGCAGCUAACGCGUGAAGUAGACCGCCUGGGGAGUACGGUCGCAAGNUUAAAACNCAAAUGAAUUGACGG
rnacentral:rRNA from 1 species